rnacentral:rRNA from 1 species
AGCGAACGCUGGCGGCAUGCCUUACACAUGCAAGUCGAACGGCAGCACGGGAGCAAUCCUGGUGGCGAGUGGCGAACGGGUGAGUAAAAUAUCGGAACGUGCCCAGUCGUGGGGGAUAACGUAGCGAAAGCUACGCUAAUACCGCAUACGAUCUAUGGAUGAAAGCGGGGGAUCGCAAGACCUCGCGCGAUUGGAGCGGCCGAUAUCAGAUUAGGUAGUUGGUGAGGUAAAGGCUCACCAAGCCGACGAUCUGUAGCUGGUCUGAGAGGACGACCAGCCACACUGGGACUGAGACACGGCCCAGACUCCUACGGGAGGCAGCAGUGGGGAAUUUUGGACAAUGGGCGCAAGCCUGAUCCAGCAAUGCCGCGUGCAGGAUGAAGGCCUUCGGGUUGUAAACUGCUUUUGUACGGAGCGAAAAGGCUUCCACUAAUACUGGGGGCUCAUGACGGUACCGUAAGAAUAAGCACCGGCUAACUACGUGCCAGCCGCCGCGGUAACAC